UACGUAGGGGGCAAGCGUUGUUCGGAAUUACUGGGCGUAAAGGGUUCGUAGGCGGUCAACUAAGUCAAACGUGAAAUCCCUCGGCUUAACCGGGGAACUCCGUCUGAUACUGGAUGGCUUGAGUUUGGGAGAGGGAUGCGGAAUUCCAGGUGUAGCGGUGAAAUGCGUAGAUAUCUGGAGGAACACCGGUGGCGAAGGCGGCAUCUUGGACCAACACUGACGCUGAGGAGCGAAAGCCAGGGGAGCAAACGGG
rnacentral:rRNA from 1 species